rnacentral:rRNA from 1 species
UACGAAGGGGGCUAGCGUUGCUCGGAAUCACUGGGCGUAAAGGGUGCGUAGGCGGGUCUUUAAGUCAGGGGUGAAAUCCUGGAGCUCAACUCCAGAACUGCCUUUGAUACUGAAGAUCUUGAGUUCGGGAGAGGUGAGUGGAGCUGCGAGUGUAGAGGUGAAAUUCGUAGAUAUUCGCAAGAACACCAGUGGCGAAGGCGGCUCACUGGCCCAUAACUGACGCUGAGGCACGAAAGCGUGGGGAGCAAACAGG